AAUACAUUGAAAGUGUUAAUCUGGGUUGUUAGGCUAGCCUAGGCAUAGUUAUGAAACAUUUUUUUAGAAAAGUUGUGAAUGAAUGCAAAAUCAGUUAUGCCAAGGAGGUGUUGCAUGACGUAUUAUCAUCUACAGUACUUUGCCUAAAGGCCUAGACUUAGCUAGCUAAACUUAAAAUUUGAAGCUGGUAGUGAGAACUUAAAGACUGCAAUAAUGGAAAAGUGGAGGGAUUUGAAGGUGAUCCUAACCAUUAUGGCUAUGACCAUUAUAUUGAUGUUGACUAUGGGGUUGAUGUUGUCAUUUGGUGUCUUUUUGGUGGAUUUUAAAUUAUAUUUUGAGACCGGAUCAGGUGUAGUUGGAGCUGUUAGUAGCUUGUGCAUCGCUGUUUUUUGUUUUUCUGGACCAUUACAUUGUAUAAUUGGACAACGGUUUGGAUGUCGCUUUGCAAUUUGUAUUGGUUGUUGUUUGGUUUCUCUUGGAUUCUUCUUAAGUUCACUGGUGCGGGAACCCUGGCAUUUACUCCUUUCUCAUUCCAUUAUAACAGGUAAACCUAUCAAGUAAU